CAACACUUGCUCGCAGCUACUCAGCGAGAAACAAACAAAAAUGUUGCCUAACAUAAAAUCAUUGAGAAUGUUGCUUAACAGGCGAUUAAAAGCGGCUGUCGACGAGCUAUUCGGGGCAGUUGAAACAACGAUAGCAGAGUACCAGCAAGAAUUAUGCCGUUCAAAAGAGGAGAAAGACCGAACGAUAGCAGAGUACCAGGAAAAAAUGUCCCGUUCGGAAGAAGAGAAAGCCCGGCUACAGAGGCUGCUGGAUGUCGUUCUUAAACCAGAAGUAAAGCUACAGAGACUAGAAGACCUCCAGCAGCUCACUCUCUCCAUCUCUGAAGAAGUUUCCCCUGAGCAGCAGGAUUGUAGUCCUGGUCUGUGGCAGGAGGGACCUUCUCAGAUUAAAGUGGAACAGGAGGACCUAUGGGUCAUCAGUCAGGGACAAGAGCAGCUUCAAGCGAUGGAUUAUGAUACUGAUUGUACUGAUGAUUCUGCUGAUACAGAAGCCUUCAUAUCUACUGCCAGAGUAAAAGGUGACUGUAAUCAUAACCCAAGUCAGUCCUCACAUCUUUACCAAGUUUUAACCCAACGUGAAGAAAACACAGACAGGGAUGAGCUACCCAGCACCACAAUGCGAAUUGAACAGAUUAAAACAGAAAACGUCAGUAACAGUGACUCUCAGCCCCCAUCUGCAGUCAAUUCAGACUGGUCUGAAACUCAGAUUGAGAGUGGUGAUAGUGUUGAUUGGAUGGAGAGUGAAGGACCUCCACUCAAGUCAAAGAGAACACAGACAGAUGUUGGACCAAGAGUCUGUACUAAAGUCAGAGAAUCCACCGAGUUGUCCCAUUUGAAAUCCCCUAUCCCCAGUAAUGCUGUUCGUCAUUGUAGAAUAUGUGCAAAACCUUUUAUCACCAUGACGUCUCUAGUGAUUCAUGCCCAUAGACAUAGACAGCUAUCUCGGUGUGGUGUCUGCGGAAGAACCUUUGAGUCUGUAGAAAGUUUGAAAGAACAUCUACAUUUUCAUGUUGCAAGUACAGGAUCACUUUCUUGUUACAUCUGUGGUAUAUGCUUCACAGAGGAUGAGGAGGUUUUGCUGGAAGAGCAUAUGAGCAAUCACAAACUGUAUCGUUGUCUUGGGUGUAAGGAACGUUUUCGAAACUCGCCAGGGUCUGACAUUGCAUAAGAGGACACAACAGGACUCUUGAUCAGGCUUGAAAAUUGAAGACCCCCCCCGACCUGCAGCCUGAGCCUUUACAAGCAGUCUUUUUUUAUUUUGAAAUUGUAAAAACAAUGUGAAUGUGAGGGAGGAGUAGCCUAUAUUGUCGUGAUCAAACUUGAUUAAAACACUACAGCAGUUUUUGCUGAAGAAAUUACUCUGGUAAAAUGUUACAGUUCCAAAUCCUAGUAAAGGAAGCCUGAGUGAGGCCCAAUGCAGUCUGUAUCCUGAAAAGUUUUUUAUAUCAAAUAAACUAUUGAAUGGAGAGUG